UACGUAGGUGGCGAGCGUUGUCCGGAUUUAUUGGGCGUAAAGAGCCCGCAGGCGGUUUGGCAGGUUUCAGGUGAAAUCUCCUGGCUUAACUGGGAGGGUGCCUGGAAAACCGCCAGACUUGAGGCAUGGAGAGGGAUGCGGAAUUCCCGGUGUAGUAGUGAAAUGCGUAGAUAUCGGGAGGAACACCAGUGGCGAAGGCGGCAUCCUGGCCAUGUCCUGACGCUCAGGGGCGAAAGCGUGGGGAGCAAAC
rnacentral:rRNA from 1 species